AAUGGCGAAUGAACAGGGUCACGCUCAGCAUCAAAAUCGGGGCCCGCGGGCCUGAGUUGUAGUCUCUGGAGGUGCUACCAAGAGAGGCGCUGCUGUACGUCUUUUGGAAACGAGCAUCGACGAGGGUGAGGGUCCCGUUUGUCAGCAGCAGCCAACUGUGCACGGUGCACAUUCUAAGAGUCACGUUCCUUGGGAUUGGAGCGCAAUGUGGGUGGUAAGCUUCAUCUCAAGCUACACAUGGGCUCGAGACCGAUAGCAAACAAGUACUAUGAGGGAAAGGUGAAAAGCACUUUGAAAAGAAAGGUAAAGUACCUGAAAUCGCUGAAGAGGAAGUGAGCGAAGCCAGUAUGUCUUGGCGAGAUUGCUGCACACGCGUGCCAGUGCUUGCUGCGCCAGCACUUGUGUGGCAUUAAGCCCCGAGCAAGUCCUGCGCAGUGCUUCUUGCCUUGCCCACCAACGGCUCUCCAUGCUUGAGGACGCUUUCAAGGACACGGUAGCUGCACCCCAUGAAGCGAAUAUUUUUGUUUGCA
rnacentral:rRNA from 1 species